UGCGGAGGCCGUGGCCCCGUUGGGGUGGCUUCGCGAUGCGGCUGCGGGCGGCCGCUCCUGCACAGCCGGGACGCGGCCCCUCUUCCGGUGGCCCGUACACGUCCGCACCUCCGCCGCGCUGACCGCCCCCCUGCCCCCGGGAAGCCGGGAGAGAGGCGCCAGCUGGCGACGGGGCCCGCACCCCAGGAGCGCCCUGAGGCCCCGACAGGUCUGUGGGUUAGAAGUCCGACGUGGGCUUCAGUGGGCUAAAAUCGAGGUCUCGGCAAGCCGGCCAUGCUUCCUGCAGGCUCUAGAGGACCAUCUGUGUCUUUGUCCUCUGCAAGCUCCUAGAGGCGCCCGCAUUCCUUGGCUGGUGGCUUCUUCCGCCACCUUCAAAGUCAGCAACCUUCUUCCAAAGUCACAGCUCCCUCUGCGUCUCCCCCGUCCCCCUCUUCCACUUGUAAGGUUCCUUGUGAUCACAUUGCACCUACUCCGAUAAUCCCGGGGGGUUUCCCUAUCUUAAGGUCAGCUGAUUGGCAACCUUAGUUCCAUCUCCAAUCUUGAUUGCCUUUUGCCAUGUAACACAGUGGAUUCACCGGCUCCCAGGAACAGGACAAGGAUGUUGUCGGGGGGCUGCCAUUCUGCCCACCGCGGUCCCUAUGAACUAUAUUGUGACAGGAAGCCAGAGAGUAACCGUGGUCCUGAGACAGGACAGGGAAGGCCUGCUGCUUGGACGCUCUGCAGGCACGGACAGGAGGAGAAAGCCAUGGCCAGUCAGCCGUUACACGCCACAGUGCCAGAGGCUGUGUGGAUCUGCUGCAGUGGAGACGCCACUUCCAGCCUGGCAGCCCUGAUUGCUUCUGCUGCCUGUGUAAGUUUCCUGUCAUCCACCAUCUUCCACGGUUAUUUGUUUCUCGCAAAGGCCAGACAGUGCUAAAUAACAUUCCAUUGUCUGGAUGGACUACAGUUUAUUUAUCCACUCACCUACUGAAGGAUAUCUUGGUCGCUUCCAAGUUUUGGCAAUUAUGAAUAAAGCUGCUAUAAACAUCCAUGUGUUGGAUUUGAUGUGAACAUAAAAUU